rnacentral:rRNA from 1 species
GAUGAACGCUGGCGGCGUGCCUAAUACAUGCAAGUCGAGCGAACAGACGAAGAGCUUGCUCCUCUGACGUUAGCGGCGGACGGGUGUGUAACACGUGGAUAACCUACCUAUAAGACUGGGAUAACUUCGGGAAACCGGAGCUAAUACCGGAUAAUAUAUUGAACCGCAUGGUUCAAUAGUGAAAGACGGUUUUGCUGUCACUUAUAGAUGGAUCCGCGCCGCAUUAGCUAGUUGGUAAGGUAACGGCUUACCAAGGCGACGAUGCGUAGCCGACCUGAGAGGGUGAUCGGCCACACUGGAACUGAGACACGGUCCAGACUCCUACGGGAGGCAGCAGUAGGGAAUCUUCCGCAAUGGGCGAAAGCCUGACGGAGCAACGCCGCGUGAGUGAUGAAGGUCUUCGGAUCGUAAAACUCUGUUAUUAGGGAAGAACAAAUGUGUAAGUAACUAUGCACGUCUUGACGGUACCUAAUCAGAAAGCCACGGCUAACUACGUG